rnacentral:rRNA from 1 species
UAGGGAAUAUUGGUCAAUGGAGGCAACUCUGAACCAGCCAUGCCGCGUGCAGGAAGACAGCCCUAUGGGUCGUAAACUGCUUUUGUACGGGAAUAAACCCCGGUUCGUGAACCGGGCUGAACGUACCGUAAGAAUAAGGAUCGGCUAACUCCGUGCCAGCAGCCGCGGUAAUACGGAGGAUCCGAGCGUUAUCCGGAUUUAUUGGGUUUAAAGGGUGCGUAGGCGGCUCAUUAAGUCAGGGGUGAAAGACGGCAGCUCAACUGUCGCAGUGCCUUUGAUACUGAUGAGCUUGAAUGUGGUUGAAGAUGGCGGAAUGAGACAAGUAGCGGUGAAAUGCAUAGAUAUGUCUCAGAACUCCGAUUGCGAAGGCAGCUGUCUAAGUCAUUAUUGACGCUGAUGCACGAAAGCGUGGGGAUCGAACAGGAUUAGAUACCCUGGUAGUCCACGCCCUAAACGAUGAUAACUCGAUGUUGGCGAUACACAGUCAGCGUCUUAGCGAAAGCGUUAAGUUAUCCACCUGNGGAGUACGCCCGCAAGGGUG